UGGAUGAUGUGGUUAAUUCGAUGCAACGCGAAAACUUACCACCUUGACAUGGCAGGAAUCCCGAGGAGAUUUGGGAGUGCUCGAAAGAGAACCUGCACACAGGUGCUGCAUGGCUGUCGUCAGCUCGUGUCGUGAGAUGUUGGGUUAAGUCCCGCAACGAGCGCAACCCUUGCCAUUAGUUGCUACGAAAGGGCACUCUAAUGGGACUGCCGGUGACAAACCGGAGGAAGGUGGGGAUGACGUCAAGUCCUCAUGGCCCUUACAUCCCGGGCUACACACGUGCUACAAUGGCAGGUACAGAGGGCUGCGAAGCCGCGAGGUGGAGCGAAUCCCAGAAAACCUGUCUCAGUCCGGAUUGAAGUCUGCAACUCGACUUCAUGAAGGCGGAAUCGCUAGUAACCGCGAAUCAGCAGGUCGCGGUGAAUACGUUCCCGGGCCUU
rnacentral:rRNA from 1 species